rnacentral:lncRNA from 1 species
GUCCCAGGUGUGCCCAGGUGUGUCCCAGCUGUGUCUCACCUGUCCCAGGUGUGCCCAGGUGUGUCCCAGCUGUGUCUCACCUGUCUCAGGUGUGUCUCACCUGUCCCAGCUGUGCCCAGGUGUGUCCCAGCUGUGUCUCACCUGUCCCAGCUGUGUCUCACCUGUCCCAGGUGUGUCUCCAGGUGUGUCUCACCUGUCCCAGCUGUGUCUCACCUAUCUCAGGUGUGUCUCACCUGUCUCAGGUGUGUCUCCAGGUGUGUCUCACCUGUCUCAGGUGUGUCUCCAGGUGUGUCUCACCUUGAUGAAGGCGUAGUCGGCGCCGUUGUCGGUGAUGGUCAGCCCCAGCUGUGCCCAGGUGUGUCUCACCUGUCCCAGGUGUGUCUCCAGGUGUGUCUCACCUGUCCCAGCUGUGUCUCACCUAUCUCAGGUGUGUCUCACCUAUCUCAGCUGUGUCCCAGGUGUGUCUCACCUAUCUCAGGUGUGUCUCACCUGUCCCAGGUGUGUCUCCAGGUGUGUCUCACCUGUCCCAGGUGUGUCUCACCUGUCUCAGGUGUGUCUCCAGGUGUGUCUCACCUGUCCCAGCUGUGUCUCACCUAUCUCAGGUGU